GAUGUUUGCAAAAUCAGGAUUAUUCCGGGACAGCUGACACAGCGACUCGACUGCAGCAGUACGAACUUCUACGAAGAGAAGAAAAUGUAUAGAAGGAAUUUUUAUCUAUGGGUCUUCCGGCGAUCUUGUCUGUCAUCUUUUCUUCGGCUUCGAUCACCCUUUGUGUAUCUAUUAUCUAUGGCUUCGAUUAACUAUCGUCUUCGAGAAGGCGAUAAUGCAAGCCGCCGUUUUUGCUGUUCGUAAAUGGAGACGUCUGAAGGGUUGCCUUGCAGAUAACAUUCUUGGAUUACCUAUAUGGACGAACUACUUGCAGAUGUUAUCAGUGACAGUCAGAUUUACUUUUAUUUCCAAAAAUAUUUCUGAUGAGGUGGUCGAAAAAUACGUAGACAUAGGAUGUUAACGAUGGUUUCCAUGAAAACAUAAUAUGUAAAUGAACACAGAGGGUAAAUCAAAAGGAGUCGAAAUGUAAAGAAACAGAGCCCCACUCUUCUUUCUCUUGGACUUGGAGUGGAGUCAUGUGUUGAAAGGGUUAUCAUUUAAACUUAUUAAACGAACAAGAAAACAAAAAAUAAGGAUUCAAAAUGUGGAGAAGUGGAAUCCUUGGAAAGUGCAAUUUUUAGAGAACGAAUGAAGUCCAAUUCACAUUAAUGUAUUUAGGAAUGAAACAUGAUCACCAUAGAGUUAUCGUUGAGAUCGUCCAAAUGGUGAGAAAGAGAAUUUCAGAUUGAUGGUAUUGAAACAACCAAUGUCUUGUCUUGAUUUGCUGUUUUCGUCUUCACCUCGCAACAUUAUGCAGCUAAUUUUCAACAGAUAAGUGAGAACAAGAGGAGAUUUACUUGAAUUCCACUAAUAGAACAAGUUUUCUUCUUUGGCAUUCCUCCUGGACUUGGUUUGCUUUUCAUAUCUGCAAACGUUGGAACGUUACAGUCUAUAAUUAAUUAAGGUGAGAAUACUUGAUAUAAUUAAUUUUAAUUGCUC